UAUGGCGACCGGCGCACGGGUGAGUAACACGUAUCCAACCUGCCGAUGACUCGGGGAUAGCCUUUCGAAAGAAAGAUUAAUACCCGAUGGCAUAGUUCUUCCGCAUGGUAGAACUAUUAAAGAAUUUCGGUCAUCGAUGGGGAUGCGUUCCAUUAGGUUGUUGGCGGGGUAACGGCCCACCAAGCCUUCGAUGGAUAGGGGUCCUGAGAGGAAGGUCCCCCACAUUGGAACUGAGACACGGUCCAA
rnacentral:rRNA from 1 species